AGAGUUUGAUCCUGGCUCAGGAUGAACGCUGGCGGCGUGCUUAACACAUGCAAGUCGAACGCACCUUCGGGUGAGUGGCGGACGGGUGAGUAACGCGUGGGAAUCUGCCCUUAGGAGGGGGAUAACGGCUGGAAAUGGCCGCUAAUACCCCAUAUGCCGAGAGGUGAAACGAAUUUCGCCUGAGGAUGAGCCCGCGUCUGAUUAGCUAGUUGGUGGGGUAAGAGCCCACCAAGGCGACGAUCAGUAGCUGGUCUGAGAGGAUGAUCAGCCACACUGGGACUGAGACACGGCCCAGACUCCUACGGGAGGCAGCAGUGGGGAAUUUUCCGCAAUGGGCGAAAGCCUGACGGAGCAACGCCGCGUGAGGGAUGAAGGCCUCUGGGCUGUAAACCUCUUUUCUCAAGGAAGAAGACAUGACGGUACUUGAGGAAUAAGCCACGGCUAAUUCCGUGCCAGCAGCCGCGGUAAUACGGGAGUGGCAAGCGUUAUCCGGAAUUAUUGGGCGUAAAGCGUCCGCAGGCGGCUCUGUAAGUCUGUUGUUAAAGCGUGGAGCUCAACUCCAUUUCAGCAAUGGAAACUACAGGGCUUGAGUGUGGUAGGGGCAGAGGGAAUUCCCGGUGUAGCGGUGAAGUGCGUAGAUAUCGGGAAGAACACCAGUGGCGAAGGCGCUCUGCUGGGCCAUAACUGACGCUCAUGGACGAAAGCCAGGGGAGCGAAAGGGAUUAGAUACCCCUGUAGUCCUGGCCGUAAACGAUGAACACUAGGUGUCGGGGGAAUCGACCCCCUCGGUGUCGUAGCCAACGCGUUAAGUGUUCCGCCUGUGGAGUACGCACGCAAGUGUGAAACUCAAAGGAAUUGACGGGGGCCCGCACAAGCGGUGGAGUAUGUGGUUUAAUUCGAUGCAACGCGAAGAACCUUACCAGGGUUUGACAUCCUGCGAAUCCCUUGGAAACUUGGGAGUGCCUUCGGGAGCGCAGAGACAGGUGGUGCAUGGCUGUCGUCAGCUCGUGUCGUGAGAUGUUGGGUUAAGUCCCGCAACGAGCGCAACCCACGUCUUUAGUUGCCAGCAUUCAGUUGGGCACUCUAGAGAGACCGCCGGUGAUAAACCGGAGGAAGGUGUGGAUGACGUCAAGUCAUCAUGCCCCUUACAUCCUGGGCUACACACGUACUACAAUGCUACGGACAGAGGGCAGCAAGCUCGCGAGAGUUAGCAAAUCCCAUAAACCGUGGCUCAGUUCAGAUCGUAGGCUGCAACUCGCCUACGUGAAGGAGGAAUCGCUAGUAAUCGCAGGUCAGCAUACUGCGGUGAAUACGUUCCCGGGCCUUGUACACACCGCCCGUCACACCAUGGAAGUUGGCCAUGCCCGAAGUCGUUACUCCAACCCUUGUGGAGGAGGACGCCGAAGGUGGGGCUGAUGACUGGGGUGAAGUCGUAACAAGGUA
rnacentral:rRNA from 1 species